GACGAACGCUGGCGGCGUGCCUAAUACAUGCAAGUAGAACGCUGAAGAGAGGAGCUUGCUCUUCUUGGAUGAGUUGCGAACGGGUGAGUAACGCGUAGGUAACCUGCCUGGUAGCGGGGGAUAACUAUUGGAAACGAUAGCUAAUACCGCAUAAAAUUGAUUAUUGCAUGAUAAUUAAUUGAAAGAUGCAACUGCAUCACUACCAGAUGGACCUGCGUUGUAUUAGCUAGUUGGUGAGGUAACGGCUCACCAAGGCGACGAUACAUAGCCGACCUGAGAGGGUGAUCGGCCACACUGGGACUGAGACACGGCCCAGACUCCUACGGGAGGCAGCAGGAGGGAAUCUUCGGCAAUGGGGGGAACCCUGACCGAGCAACGCCGCGUGAGUGAAGAAGGGUGUCGGAUCGUAAAGCUCUGUUGUAAGAGAAGAACGGGUGUGAGAGUGGAAAGUUCACACUGUGACGGUAUCUUACCAGAAAGGGACGGCUAACUACGUG
rnacentral:rRNA from 1 species